rnacentral:rRNA from 1 species
CCUACGGGGGGCAGCAGUAGGGAAUAUUGCUCAAUGGGGGAAACCCUGAAGCAGCAACGCCGCGUGGAGGAUGAAGGUUUUCGGAUUGUAAACUCCUUUUGUUAGAGAAGAUAAUGACGGUAUCUAACGAAUAAGCACCGGCUAACUCCGUGCCAGCAGCCGCGGUAAUACGGAGGGUGCAAGCGUUACUCGGAAUCACUGGGCGUAAAGAGCGCGUAGGCGGGAUAGCAAGUCAGUUGUGAAAUCCUAUGGCUUAACCAUAGAACUGCAGUUGAAACUGUUAGUCUAGAGUAUGGGAGAGGUAGGUGGAAUUCUUGGUGUAGGGGUAAAAUCCGUAGAGAUCAAGAGGAAUACUGAUUGCGAAGGCGACCUGCUGGAACAUAACUGACGCUGAUGCGCGAAAGCGUGGGGAGCAAACAGGAUUAGAUACCCUUGUAGUC